rnacentral:ncRNA from 1 species
CUACAUCUCUCGGGGUGCCGUAGCGAUUAAAGCUAACUGAUAGCUUCACGCGUUAGGCUGAGACUUGAGCUAAGAUGUUGAUAAAACAUAGUCUUUAAAACAUAGUAAGCCAAGAACCCGUAUUACCUGAUCCGAUUAGCAUCGGCGUAGGGAAGAGUAGCCUCAAGGGU